UUUUUCAUAUGCAUUAACAUAUUGCAGUCUUGAUGACAACCCAGGGGUGGUCUUAGCCAAUACAGGGGCAACUGCUUCCAAACACCAUAUUUGGGGGCAGAUUUUAGCAAAAUAUUCUCCUUCAGCACAACCUGGUUGGAAAAGGACAUCAUUUCCUGGUGCAACUGGUUGCAAGCAGCUUCUUUCCUGGAAACUUGUAACUGGAGCUGCCUUAUACUGAGUCAGACGAGGACACCGCCUGUCUUCCUCGCCAAGUGAGGCUGCCACCUUUCCAGAUAUAUGCUUUCAAAUGGCCUUGGGAUCCUAAUCUAUGUUUGUGAUGGCGCCCAGGAAUCUGGAGGUCAUAUUCUGUGCUGAUUAAUUGUUCUGGAGCACAAUAGUAAGCCGGUUUACUGCCUGCAUCAGCUCACCUUCCUACUUCAUUAUGACAGAAAUCAACCGGUAAUUCCAGCAGCAGCGUGUCGCAAAGAACUUCAGGUGGGAGAUCUGAUAGCACAUCAUCUUCUUACUCGGGAAGAAUCUUGUAAGGAUGAGAGCCAGCCUGGCUUAGAGCGCUUUCACACACAAAGCUUAUGUUGGCUUUGCUUGAAAUUGGUUCCUAAAACGAAUGGCUGCAGCAUUCAUUUGAUUUCUCUUCCAAACCCUCUCCCAUAUGAACAGCAUUCACAAGUGAUGCAAAAAGCACAAUAUGGAUCCAAAUGUGCAUUUUCUUUGGAGUGGCUGUGUGUGUGAAAAUGCUCAAACAGAGAAAGCUUGCAAAUACCUAGCUCAGGUUUUUGCCUUUGCUAUGAAAUGUGGUGCCCUAAGAUAAGCCGCAAUAUGAGUUUAACAUAUUAAAGGGGUGUUUAAGAACAACCAGCCUAUUGUGCAUGGGAAGUCUUUGGACCAGUCUAGAGAGCUAUACAAAUUAUUAGGACAUGCUUCCAUGAUAGAAAAACUGGUUGAGUAGCAGUAUCUUAAGAAGGGAGAUCUGACUCUCAGAUGCUUCUACCCUGAAAAUCUUGUUGGUCUCUAAGGUGCUACUAGACCCAAAUCCCUCAGGUUUAAUAGUAACUCCUUCUUCUUAAGGAACUCUGGUGCAACAGCCAAAUUUGUUGUACACUACAGUACAAUACUCCUUUUUUUAUUUCAAGGAACUCUGGGAAGUGCAGUUCUGUGCGGUCCGCUAGAUAAAGAUUUGUAUCAAAGAACUACCAGCACUAAACUACAGUUCCCAAGAUCCUCUGGGGAAGCUGUGACAGUCAAAGGGAUAUAAGUGAACACAUGAAGUUGCUUUAUACUGAGUUCAGUCCACUAGUCUACCAAAGUCAGUCUUGUCUCCUCUGAUUGUCAGCGGCUCUCCAGGGUCUCAGGUGGAAGUCUUUCACAUCUCUCUUAAACAAACAAUUAAAAAAAACUAGACAUGCUGGGGAUUAAAAUUUGGGACCAUCACCAUACAAAACAGAUGCUUUGCCAUGGAGUCAUGGUCCCUCUCUAGUAGAUGAUCCCAAAGUGGUCUACAGUGGGUGGGUUGCUCCUUAAAUCAAGAUAGCCAAUACUAUAUCUUCAAGCCAACCCAACAAGACAAAUUUUUAUACAAAAUGGGAACCUUUUUUUGAUUUUCUAGCUAAAAAUGAACUUUUACUAACAAAAUUGAGAUUUCAAGAAAUUAUGGAAAUGGAAACGUGGGGUUUCCGGUAAACAUAACUAUUAGGAAACUAUACCAAGACGGUUACUGUUAUAAAGGUCCGUUUCUCAUUUCAUAAUUGGAUGAAAGUUUAAAAUUAUAUAUAUUGAUAAGAUUAUCUCUGUAUUACGAUUUGGUUGAGAUUUGAGUACUUAAUAUUGUUAUUAUUAUUGUUUGUAUGUUACAAGUUAAUAAUAAAAUAUUUUUUUUUUAAAAAAGAUAGCCAAUACUAGAUGUUAGGAGGACUCUAUGCUGUUCUUUUCCUCAGGUUUCAGAGGGGGAUAAUCCAAAGAGUUAGAAAGAUAGAGAGGUCAAGGCACUCUUUUUACUGCUUACUGCUCCUUUGAUAUGUAGAUUGCUACUCUCAGGAUGUCCUCCUCCUAACUUCCUCCCUUUCAACUGUUUUCUUCCUGGCUUUGUUCCAGGCAACAUAUCUCUCCUUUUCCUCCCUCCAUCUUGGAAGCAUGGACUUGUCCUAGCAUCCAUGCCCAUCCAUAGACUAGCUAGGUAGUUAGGAUCUGUCUCUCCUCCUUUCCUAUCAGAAUAUGGAGUUCCUACAAUAAAGAAUUCUUAUUUCCUUUCUAAAUAUAAACAAGUGUAAGCUUUGUUAUUUUCUCUCCUGCACACACACCAACCAGCAGAACCAGCUCACAACUUCCUAUAAUCAUGCUUCCUCUGCUAAACAAUAGACUCCGCUAAUGGCCCAAACAUGGAAUCCUUUAAUUAGGUUUCUGGGGUCAACAUACGAUUUAUUUAUCACUAGAGACACUUCAACAGUUUUCCUUCAUUUGUUCUCUCUAUCCCAUCCUUCAUCCAGGGAGUUCAAGGCAGCAUACAUGAGUCCACCUUAGGGUUUUCAAACUCCAGGUGGAGCCUGGAGUUCUCCUAGAAUUACAACUGAUCUCCAGGCUUAUAGAGACCAGCUCCCUUGGAGAAAAUGGCGGCUUCAGAGGAUGGACUGUAUGGCAUCUCAUCCCUGCUGGGGCUCCUCUUCUCUCCAAACUGUGCCUUCCUCACGCUCUGCCCCCAAGAAUCUUCCAACCUGGAGUUGGUGACCAUAGGACCCCCCUCCAUUUUAUCCUUGCAACAAUCCAGGUAGAGGCCUUCUUGGCUGCUGUUCCUGAACUGUGAAACUAUUGACCUAGGAUUUAUAGAGUAUGUGUGGAGUGAAUUGAGCCUUUCAGGUUAUGAGUUUGAUUGUAUGUAACUCCAUCGGCACAUAGCACUUUAUUAAGUAUAUAAAGAGUAUAUGAUUGCCAAAUUGGAGUGAGAGUGGUCGGAGCUCAGGGUGGACUUGGGUCCUUUUGUUUUUGUGCUCAUACCCAUGAGAGCCUCUUCCCCCCACCCCCAACCUCCAGGUGAGGCCUAGAGUUCUCCUGGAAUUACAACAGCUCUCCAGACUAGAGAGAUCACUUCCCCUGGAGAAAGUGGCAGCUCCAGAGAGAGGAUUCUAUGGCAUUAUAUUCCUGCAGAUCUCCCUCUGCCGGCUCUACCCCCAAAGCCCCAAGAAUUUCCCAGCCUAAAAGUGGCCUAGACCCAGUGCAUUAUUUCUUGCAUUUGCACAAGAGAAAGGGUUGGGGGGGUGGUCUAUGGCAAGAGCUUUUACUCAGAUAGGAAGACAGGAUUGUAAGGAGGGAGUCUCAGAUGUUUCGCUAAUGAAUUAGGGGAAAAGGGUAAAGGUAGUCCCCUGUGCAAGCAUCAAGUCAUUACUGACCCAUGGAGGGACAUCGCAUCACGACGUUUUCUUGGCAAACUUUUUGUUACGGGAUGGUUUGCCAUUGCCUUCCCCAGUCAUCUACACUUUACCCCCAGGAAACGGUACUCAUUUUACCAACCUCGGAAGGAUGGAAGGCUGAGUCAACCUUGAGCUAGCGACUUGACCCCAGCUUCCUCCAGGAUCAAACUCAGGUUGUGAACAGAGCUCACCAUAGACUUCACCAUUAUUUUGCAUUACAUAUUAUCUGUUGCUUUAAAUAUGUACUCCUGUAUACUACUUGUGCUUCAUGUCAUCUAAUGUCAGUCCUAGAAUUGAUUAUGUUCUGUUUCAGCAGUUCUUCAACCCCGUAUUGGAUCCUUGCUAAUGCUAUGUCUUUGUAAACUUGUAUUCAUUUACCCUAUGACAUUGUUUAUGGAAAUGUCCUUGAUACUGUAUGGAAAUGCCUGCCCUUGUCCUUGCCACUGAUUGUACUAAUCUCACACUCUUUAAUCCACCUUGAGUCUCAGUGAGAAAGGCGGACUAUAAAUGACAUAAAUA